ACGGGUGAGUAAUAUAUCGGAACGUGCCCAGUAGUGGGGGAUAGCCCGGCGAAAGCCGGAUUAAUACCGCAUACGACCUACGGGUGAAAGCGGGGGAUCGCAAGACCUCGCGCUAUUGGAGCGGCCGAUAUCAGAUUAGCUAGUUGGUGGGGUAAAAGCCUACCAAGGCGACGAUCUGUAGCUGGUCUGAGAGGACGACCAGCCACACUGGGACUGAGACACGGCCCAGACUCCUACGGGAGGCAGCAGUGGGGAAUUUUGGACAAUGGGCGCAAGCCUGAUCCAGCCAUGCCGCGUGCGGGAAGAAGGCCUUCGGGUUGUAAACCGCUUUUGUCAGGGAAGAAACGGUCUGAUCUAAUACAUUGGACUAAUGACGGUACCUGAAGAAUAAGCACCGGCUAACUACGUGCCAGCAGCCGCGGUAAUACGUAGGGUGCAAGCGUUAAUCGGAAUUACUGGGCGUAAAGCGUGCGCAGGCGGCUUUGCAAGACAGAUGUGAAAUCCCCGGGCUCAACCUGGGAACUGCAUUUGUGACUGCAAGGCUGGAGUACGGUAGAGGGGGAUGGAAUUCCGCGUGUAGCAGCG
rnacentral:rRNA from 1 species